rnacentral:rRNA from 1 species
GUGUCAGCAGCCGCGGUAAGACGGAGGGUGCAAACGUUGCUCGGAAUCACUGGGCAUAAAGCGCACGUAGGCGGCCAACUAAGUCGGGUGUGAAAGCCCCCGGCUCAACCGGGGAAUGGCUCCCGAUACUGGUUGGCUCGAGGACGGUAGGGGUGAGUGGAACUCCAGGUGGAGCGGUGAAAUGCGUAGAUAUCUGGAGGAACACCGGUGGCGAAAGCGGCUCACUGGACCGUCUCUGACGCUGAGGUGCGAAAGCCAGGGUAGCGAACGGGAUUAGAUACCCGCGUAGUCC